rnacentral:rRNA from 1 species
GACAGGGGAUGCAAGCGUUAUCCGGAAUGAUUGGGCGUAAAGCGUCUGUAGGUUGCUUUUUAAGUCUAUCGUCAAAUCCCAGGGCUUAACCCUGGACAGGCGAUAGAUACUAUUAGGCUAGAGUACGGUAGGGGCAGGGGGAAUUUCCGGUGGAGCGGUGAAAUGCGUAGAUAUCGGAAAGAACACCAAAGGCGAAGGCACUCUGCUGGGCCGAAACUGACACUGAGAGACGAGAGCUAGGGGAG